rnacentral:rRNA from 1 species
UACGGGGGGGGGCAAGCGUUGUUCGGAAUUACUGGGCGUAAAGGGCUCGUAGGCGGCCAACUAAGUCCGACGUGAAAUCCCAAGGCUUAACCUUGGAACUGCGUCGGGAUACUGGAUGGCUUGAAUUCGGGGAGAGGGAUGCAGAAUUCCAGGUGUAGCGGUGAAAUGCGUAGAUAUCUGGAGGAAUACCGGUGGCGAAGGCGGCAUCCUGGACCGACAUUGACGCUGAUGAGCGAAAGCUAGGGGAGCAAACGGG